rnacentral:rRNA from 1 species
AACGAACGCUGGCGGCAUGCCUAACACAUGCAAGUCGAACGAGGCCUUCGGGUCUAGUGGCGCACGGGUGCGUAACGCGUGGGAACCUGCCCUUAGGUUCGGAAUAACUCCCCGAAAGGGGUGCUAAUACCGGAUAAUGUCUUCGGACCAAAGAUUUAUCGCCUUUGGAUGGGCCCGCGUUGGAUUAGCUAGUUGGUAGGGUAAAAGCCUACCAAGGCGACGAUCCAUAGCUGGUCUGAGAGGAUGAUCAGCCACACUGGGACUGAGACACGGCCCAGACUCCUACGGGAGGCAGCAGUGGGGAAUAUUGGACGAUGAGCGAAGGCCUGAUACAGCAAUGCCGCGUGAGUGAUGAAGGCCUUAGGGUUGUAAAGCUCUUUUACACGGGAUGAUAAUGACAGUACCGGGAGAAUAAGCUCCGGCUAACUCCGUG